AAGUUCUAAAUCAGCAGCCCACUCCCAAAUCGUAUCUCUCUCCCAUCUCUCUUCUUCGCAACCAGUAGGGACCAGCAGAUCAACGCAGCAGCGUAGCAACCGGCGACCUUCCCUUCCGUCUCUCUCUUGCUCUUGAUCGGACCAGCAGGGGAACCUGCGGCGGAGCAGAUCGGCGGUGGUGGGCGGCUCGGGCGAGGACGUCCAGCGAACAGCCGCAGAUUGGAGCAGCAGGUGGUGGUCUCUCUGGCGUGGCUGGUCAACGACGAACUCCGGCGGGCAGUGGCGAUCAACGGCGGCGUCUUCCCUCCUCUGGCGCGGCAGCUGGACGGCGGUGGCUGUGGGUGGUGUGGUGACCGGCGGUGUGGCAGCAGGUGUGGCGGUGGUGGUAUUGGCUCUGAAAAAUUGGGCAGAAAACAAAGGAAGAUGGCAAAUUUGUGAGAGAUUAAGUUGGAUUAGUGAGGUUCCUUGUUGAAGUGUUCAACUCAGGAGUUGAGCUAAGACUGGGCGUUUUAUUUUUGGAGCCUAGCUUUGAGGAUCUGGACUUGUGGCUAGUUGAGAGCGUGACGUAGAACUUGUAAGCCCCGAGAAAUGUUCACGUCAUAAUCUGUGUAGAUUGGACUUGAAUUGUCUUGUAGUUAGUUGUGAUUUGAAUAAGGGAAUAUUGUAAUGGAAGUUGUAAAUAGAAACGUUUGAAGCCUGUGCGUUUGGGCUUAGUUGUGACCCAAGCGUGGCAUAGCACCCCUUUGUUUAAGUUUUGGUUUCGCUUCCACAUUUAUAUUCAGUCUUUUAGUAACAAAACCCUUUAUUUUGAUUUA